UAGGACAUCAGAAGAUGAUGGCAAAUUGAUCUGGCAAACUCAUCACUGGCCCAGGGACAGUCCUCAGUGGGAAUGACCAUUUGAUGGGGCUGGUUUUACUGUGAAAAACUGCCAUAUUCUCUGACGAUGCUCAGAAGACGUGCAGAUCAAGCCCUGAACUUUGCAGUUUGGAGCUCUACAACACUGCAGGGCAACCUGAUAGUAAGAGGACUGGUAGAGUCAUGGGACUGCACAAAUCCAAGCCGAGCAGUAAGGCGAGCUCCAGAGAAAGGUGAAUAGCGUUCCAAGGAAGGAAUACUGCUGGCUCAGUGUGGUCUACAGCUUGGCAGUGUGACAUUCAGAAAAGAAAUCACUGCAGACCGUUUCCUGCCAACAGUUUUUAUGAAGACUUUCAAACCCUUUCAAAGUGGAGUGCAGAAGUAACGGCUUGAUAUCGCGCUCAGUCAUUCCCCUGUCAGAAAGGAAGGAAGGAAGGUAGCACCUGUAACUUGUAUUUGCAAGAAAUCCCAAGGACAUACUACACAGUAUGUGCUUUAAACGAGAUUAAACAUUUCAGUUCAAACCCCGCUAAAGUAAAAAUUCUGACUGGAAUCUUUGUCUUUUCGGCUCUUAAUAAGAACAUUGUUUAUGGAAAAUUAGGGCAAAAUAGAAAACACAAUGAACAAAUUUGAAUAAAAAAUAAUUUUAACUCUCUUUUUAUUUUCAAGGUUUGCUGCUUAUAUUUUUGGUCUGAAAAAGGCCUAAUGUGAUUGUAAAGUUUUCUUUCUUUUCCAAAUCUAGUAUUUGGUCAAAUAAAAUCAUGCCUUUCUGCAUAAGCCUUGGCUCACUCAGGAUUCAGCAAUUCCUGAUAAUAAUACGUAAUACUGGUGUUUGGGGGCCUUUUU